AUUGAACGCUAGCGGGAUGCUUUACACAUGCAAGUCGAACGAGUGGCGGACGGGUGAGUAAUAUAUCGGAACGUGCCCAGUAGCGGGGGUUAACUACUCGAACGAGUGGCUAAUACCGCAUUCUAUUGGAGGGGCCGCUAUCGGAUUAGCUGGUUGGUGGGGUAAAGGCUCACCAAGGCAACGAUCAGUAGCUGGGUUGAGAGGACGACCAGCCACACUGGGACUGAGACACGGCCCAAACGCCUACGGGAGGCAGCAGUGGGGAAUUUUGGACAAUGGGAGAAACCCUGAUACAGCCAUCCCGCGUGUAUGAGAAGGCCUUCGGGUUGUAAAGUACUUUCAGUCGGGAGGCGUUACCGACAGAAGAAGCACCGGCUAACUCCGUGCCAGCAGCCGCGGUAAUAC
rnacentral:rRNA from 1 species